rnacentral:rRNA from 1 species
GAUGAACGCUGGCGGCGUGCCUAAUACAUGCAAGUCGAGCGACAAGACGAGGAGCUUGCUCCUCUGCCGUUAGCGGCGGACGGGCGAGUAACACGUGGAUAACCUACUUCUAUUACUGGGGUAACUUCGGGAAACAGGAGCUACUAACGGCUCAUAUAUUGAACCGCUUGGUUCAAUGGUGAAAGGCGGUUUUCCCGUUACUUUUAGCUGGAUCCGCGCCGCAUUAGCUAGUUGGUAAGGUAACGGCUUACCAAGGCGACGAUGCGUAGCUGACCUGAGAGGGUGAUCAGCCACACUGGAACUGAGACACGGUCCAGACUCCUACGGGAGGCAGCAGUGGGGAAUCUUCCACAAUGGGCGAAAGCUUGACGGAGCAACACCGCGUGAGUGAUGAAGGUCUUCGGAUCGUAAAGCUCUGUUGUUGGGGAAGAACAAAAGCGGAAGAAACUAUGCACGUCUUGACGGUACCUAAUCAGAAAGCCACGGCUAACUACGUG